rnacentral:rRNA from 1 species
UACGUAGGGGGCAAGCGUUGUCCGGAUUUAUUGGGCGUAAAGGGCUCGUAGGCGGCUCAGUAAGUCGGGUGUGAAACCUCCAGGCUCAACCUGGAGACGCCACUCGAUACUGCUGUGGCUAGAGUCCGGUAGGGGAGCAUGGAAUUCCUGGUGUAGCGGUGAAAUGCGCAGAUAUCAGGAGGAACACCGGUGGCGAAGGCGGGUCUCUAGGCCGACACUGACGCUGAGGAGCGAAAGCGUGGGGAGCGAACAGG